GCCUCGGUGGCGGAAUUGGUAGACGCGCAUGGUUCAGGUCCAUGUGAGCUUAGCUUGUGGGAGUUCGACUCUCCCCCGAGGCACCA
rnacentral:tRNA from 1 species